rnacentral:rRNA from 1 species
UACCAGCUCUCCGAGUGGUGUGGAUGUUUAUUGGGCCUAAAGCAUCCGUAGCUGGCUGGACAAGUCCCCUGUUAAAUCCACCGAUUUAAUCGUUGGUGUGCGGGGGAUACUGUUCGGCUAGGGGACGGGAGAGGCCGACGGUAUUUCCGGGGUAGGGGUGAAAUCCUAUAAUCCCGGGAAGACCACCAGUGGCGAAGGCUGUCGGCUAGAACGCGCCCGACGGUGAGGGAUGAAAGCUGGGGGAGCGAACCGGAUUAGAUACCCGGGUAGUCCCAGCUGUAAACGAUGCAGGCUAGGUAUUUGGGCGGCCACGUGCCGCUCUAGUGCCGCAAGGAAGCUGUUAAGCCUGCCGCCUGGGGAGUACGGCCGCAAGGCUGAAACUUAAAGGAAUUGGCGGGGGAGCACCACAAGGGGUGAAGCUUGCGGUUU